GGGGCGCUCGCCAGUGUGGGUGCGCUGGUGCACCAGCAGGUUUCUGAACUGGGUGAAGCCCUUGCCACAGUCAUUGCAAGUGUAGGGCCGCUCCCCAGUGUGCAUGCGCCUGUGCUGCUUCAGUUCCGGCGACGACUUGAAGCCUUUUCCGCAGUCGGAGCAGGUGAAGAGCCUCUCGCCAGAGUGCAGGCGGUUGUGCUACAGCAGGUUGC